rnacentral:rRNA from 1 species
GACGAACGCUGGCGGCGUGCCUAAUACAUGCAAGUAGGACGCAGUUGCGAACGGGUGAGUAACGCGUCGGUAACUGCCUAUUAGAGGGGGAUAAAUAUUGGAAACGAUAGCUAAUACCGCAUACUAGUAGAUGGACCUGCGUUGUAUUAGCUAGUAGGUAGGGUAAUGGCCUACCUAGGCAACGAUCCAUAGCCGACGUGAGAGGGUGAUCGGCCACAAGGGGACUGAGACACGGGCCAGACUCCUCAGGGAGGCAGCAGUAGGGAAUCUUCGGAAAUGGGGGGAACCCUGGCCGAGCAACGCCGCGUGGGUGAAGAAGGUUUUCGGAUCGUAAAGCUCUGUUGUUAAGGGAGCGGUACUUAACGAGGAAGGGACGGCUAACUACGUGCCAGCCGCCGCGGUAAUUC